rnacentral:rRNA from 1 species
GACGAACGCUGGCGGCGUGCUUAACACAUGCAAGUCGAACGGAAAGGCCCUGCUUUUGUGGGGUGCUCGAGUGGCGAACGGGUGAGUAACACGUGAGUAACCUGCCCUUGACUUUGGGAUAACUUCAGGAAACUGGGGCUAAUACCGGAUAGGAGCUCCUGCUGCAUGGUGGGGGUUGGAAAGUUUCGGCGGUUGGGGAUGGACUCGCGGCUUAUCAGCUUGUUGGUGGGGUAGUGGCUUACCAAGGCUUUGACGGGUAGCCGGCCUGAGAGGGGGACCGGCCACAUUGGGACUGAGAUACGGCCCAGACUCCUACGGGAGGCAGCAGUGGGGAAUAUUGCACAAUGGGCGGAAGCCUGAUGCAGCAACGCCGCGGGCGGGAUGACGGCCUUCGGGUUGUAAACCGCUUUCGCCUGUGACGAAGCGGGAGUGACGGUAAUGGGUAAAGAAGCACCGGCUAACUACGUG